rfam:Triticum aestivum genome assembly, contig: Triticum_aestivum_CS42_TGACv1_scaffold_007930_1AL
AAAACUAGCCAGUCUUUUGGGUAUGAAACCCAUUUGGGCAAGAGUAGUACUAGGAUGGGUGACCUCCUGGGAAGUCCUCGUGAAAGGGUUUC